rnacentral:lncRNA from 1 species
GCGUCAUCGGCAUCGGGCGCCCGCAUUCCCACCGGGUUGCCCGUCUCUCUCUUAUCCAAUGACGUAACUAGUCGCUCGCACAGCGAGCUCGAUCAGUCUCGGAUCCUGCCCCGCCCUUCUGCCUUCUACUUCGACGAAAGUACUAUGUUUAAUAAAUUAAAAAAUUACGGUAUCAUUUUCUGUCUUCUCUACGUCUAUUUUUAGAUUAUUCUAAAUUACAUAUCUUUUUUACUUGCGCAGAAUGUUAGAUAUAGAAAUUAAUGUUGUUAGUUUUCUUCUCUUUCCUAUGACAUGUAUUUUACAUUUAAAUAUCAAAAUUUUAAUAAAGUGUUGAAAUGUUGAAAUAUUAAUUAUAAAUAUUUAUAGAACACCAUAUGUUGAAACAUCGCCUACUUAUUUGACCAAAGACAAUCUUGAUUUUUGUUAAAACAAAUUAUCUUGAAUGUCUAAUUUACGUGGAUCAAAUUUUUAUUGUAUAAUGUAACAAUCACUUGGAGCAUAAAACAGGAUUACAUUACUCCAACGCUUCGGAUGCAGCAGAAAGAAUACACAGAUCAGCUGAUCAGACCUCUCUUCAAAUUGUUCUAGCAAACUUCAAAUUAUAUAAUAUACAUAAAUAUAUAAAAGACCCUAUAUAAAUGUUAACCGACAAGAAGAAAGGACAAAGACUUCUUCCUGGCGCCAUACCCGUCUCACGACGGUACUGGUCGUCGCGGUCGGAUAGGUCUGGUACCCACGCGUGUCGAGUGCGGACGCGCCAAUGGCGGCGCGAAGGGAAGGCCGCGAGCGAAAGGUCGCCGCCGUCGCCGAUUUCGCUGAUACGCGUCACGGCGUAUAUGUAGCGCACUCGCCGUCAAAAAUUUCGCGCACCAUGCGAUGCGGCCGCAGCGAUCGUUCCGCUGCUGCGUUCGCGCAGCAGCGAGGAGCGGAAUUUCGAACGAUGUCGGCAGUUCUAUCAGACGCACCCCUAGCGUGCUGAACAUAGCGGUAGGUCUAGUCUAGUCUCGUCUCCCCGCCCUGGGAAUGGAAUGCGCAAACGGUUUCAAUGGGGGACCCGGGAGGUUCUGGGAACUAUGGGGCGAGAGGAGAUCUACUACCUACUUAAAGAUAUGGUUUUCCUCUUCGACAGAGAGGUUCCACAUAGCGAUGUCUCGCUUUUGUGCCGGAUAAGAUUUCGUGACAUUUGAGAACGAAAUAUGCAACUCUCUCACACACACACACACACAUAUAUAUGUCUUGAUCGCGAGAGCAUGACUCUCUCUCUCUUCCGCUUUCAUUAUUUGCUCGCUGGGAAAGUGACUUUAAAUCUCUGUAUAAUUCGAUCCGCGAGAAUAACGGUAUAAAAAAUAGUAUAUCGUUAUCUUAUCGCUUAAUUGACUCGUGCUAAAUGUCACGAUAACUCCCCCGAAAUUUAUCUGUCGCUUGGAACAGACGGCGGUGUUGAAUUCUACGCAUUUAGACGGGGCAAUUUAGAUCGCGGUUUCUGAGAAGAUGCUUUUUGUAUAGCUGCGCCGCGUGUAAAUUCUGCGUCACUGUGUGAUUCAAAUUCUCAGGGACACAAGUUUAAAAUACUUUUUUAAAAAAAGGAAACUUGUUUCUAGAAUUGCGCGUAUAACACACAUUUUAAUAUUAAUGUAGCAUGAGAAAUAUUCUCAUGUAUCACGUUCUAUAAUUUAACUUGCGCGCAAUAUUAGAAAGGUGUUUGCGACAACGUUGCAAAAUAUCUGCUGAAAUAUUAUUAACGUUUCUGGUAGCGUAGCAUCUUUUUAUCGCAAAUCGACAGUCGAAACGGGCGAAGAAAUAGUGAGAGAAAUGCAAAUGGAAAUUAAUGGUACUACUAAUCAUACUAUAUGCUAAUAGUAUACUACUAGUUACUCCACUAUACAUUAUAAUCGGAUAUUUUUCUCAGUGUGGUAAUGGAUGGUUUCUAGCAAUGAAUGAAGUAAGAAGGCGCCUAUAGUCUUCAAGGUCACGUAAAACUUAUGGCUGCGGGUCCUUUGAACCCAUGAGAAGGGAUAGUUAAGGGCUCCCCAGGCCCGUGGAGGGUUAGUCGGCUCACGACAUUCCAGUCCACGAAGACAGUUUUUUCGACAUUAAAAAGGGCUCAGCAAUGUUGGGGCUUUCAAUCACCCGGAUGCUGAUCUUCUAUUCAAAAGCGCUGCGGGAUUACUAGAGUCCUUGAAUAAAGUAGAGACAAUUUUUGUCUUUACAGUUAUGUCUUAACAUUUGAUUUUUAUUCAUACAUCCAGACAUCCAUGGAAUUUUGGAGAAUAUGACAGUUUAUAAAACAACAAAAUAUAAAUUCGCAAAAUUUCUGUUUGAUGUUGAUAACACUUCAACUACGUUAUCUACGCAAUCGCGUUGAUAUUAAGACAGUUCGCGUGGAGGAACAGAAAACGUAUGUUUCGAUGUAUGAUAAAGAUAGAAGGAUGACAGUCACGUUUGUAUAUCAAAAGUACACUUCUGUAUUUCCGUUUACGACGCUUCAUGUAAACUUGAUGAUGCAUGAUGCAUGAUGAGUAUUGCGUUAUGUUGCAUUAAUGAAUGAUGACGUCAUAUCAAGCAAGAAUAAAUUAUUCUGUAUAAAGACAUAGACUCUAACAUACACAUAUUAAAUAAAAAUCAAAAGAGAAAACAAGAUCUUCUCUUUUAAUUUCUUUUUUCUUCUUUCUUUUGUUUCUUUCUAUUUUUUAUUAAUCCUGUAAUGAACGUAUAGUUGGAGAACCACUUUACGUGCUCUUACGUAAGUUCAUCUGUCGACUGCCAUUUGUACGGUAUACCGUCACAAUAAUAACACAUUGUUGCAUCACUGACACUGAGUAAAAUGAAAUCAACUGCAAUCAAUGAUUCCUUCUUCUGUGGGUGUGACUCGGGUCAUGUCAUGUCAUAAAAGUCAGCAAUCACCUCUCCUUGUAUAGAUAUAUGACGGAUGUUUCGCACUUAUUAAGUUGCCGAGCAGCAUCUUGCAUCUGAAUCCUGCUAAUCAAAUCGUGAUUUCUUCAUCGAAGAGAUUACGUAUAUUUUUCAGUUUUCUAUGAUUCAGACUAUUAGUGGCUCUAAAAUGCCUUUCAUUUCAUUCUGCAUUCCAUUCAUUCUCUAGUUUAUACUUUUCAAAGAUUUGUGCGAGACCUCCCUGACGAGAUAGUUUCAGGCAGGUACCCUUACGCAGGUAAAAAUGUCAUGAUUAUCAUGAAAUCCUAAGAGUGGUCACGCAAUCCGUAUUAUCUAUGAACAAUCGUACCAUUCGUCGAACUAUUGCAACUCACAUAUUUGCACGUAGAUGCAAUAUACAAACUGUCGAGCUAAUAUCUAUAAAAGCUGCAUAGCGAGUUUUAUAAAAUGUUUUCAAUCUCUUUUUGGUCCAUUCCCUAUGUGUGUUAUCUAUCUUUCGGUUUAGAACAGACUUCAUCUGUAAGAAAAUAUGUCACACAAUAGGAAAUCUAAUAUAUAUUGGCAGGUUCUCAGCAAAUAAACAUAACAUAAAAUAAUAGAGGAAUAAAAUAUAAGAAAGGAAUUGUGAAUUGUCCACAGAAGAAACAUUAAUGUCCUGCGUAGCGCGCGAUAAGAGCACCUGGAAGCAUGAAAUAUAUCUUUAUACGCAAAGUAAUCGCUAAGUACCAGAAAAGUGCCUUUCGACAUGCUAGAAUGAGCGACGAAAUGUUUCCGCAAGAGUGGAAAAUUCAGAUUGAUAUUUCGAGGAGGGUUCGGCACGUGAAAGUCGCUGUCCUGUCGUGAGUUCCUUGAAGCCUUGUGGGAUCCCGAGGAGUCAGCUGCCGUUGUUAAGAAUUACAUCAGCAUGGCCGGCUGAAAGCGUCACAUCUGCCUCGCUCGUGAAACAGAUUAUCACGAGGCAGAGUGAUCUCAGAGUACAACGGAAGUCCACCAUCUGAAAGAAGAAUGAACGAAAGACCACGAAGUAUGAGAGAGAGAGAGAGAAAAAGCAAA